UAACCUGCCCAAGAGAUCGGGAUAACACCUGGAAACAGAUGCUAAUACCGGAUAAUAACAGAUGAUGCCUAUCAACUGUUUAAAAGAUGGUUCUGCUAUCACUCUUGGAUGGACCUGCGGUGCAUUAGCUAGUUGGUAGGGUAACGGCCUACCAAGGCGAUGAUGCAUAGCCGAGUUGAGAGACUGAUCGGCCACAUUGGGACUGAGGCACGGCCCAAACUCCUACGGGAGGCAGCAGGC
rnacentral:rRNA from 1 species